rnacentral:lncRNA from 1 species
AAUCAAAGAUAAUUGGCCUCAUUGGUCAUUUUGUUGGUCAACCUGAAAACACAAGCUCAAAAGUGAGUAACAGGACCACUAGGGCAAGCCUAGGGUCAAAAGAGAAUGAAAAAGUCAAAACAGCAAAGGGAAAGCAUUCAAAAUCAUGUUCAAUCAAUUAAGAAACAAUUCCAAUUGGGUUCACAUUCAUAUCAAUCACCAUCAUCAAUUCAUAGGCAAAAGAAGUCAAAGC